UACGUAGGGUGCAAGCGUUACUCGGAAUUACUGGGCGUAAAGCGUGCGCAGGCGGUUAUGUAAGACAGAUGUGAAAUGCCCGGGCUUAACCUGGGAACUGCAUUUGAGACUGCAUGGCUAGAGUUUGGCAGAGGGGGGUAGAAUUCCACGUGUAGCAGUGAAAUGCGUAGAUAUCGGAAGGAACAUCAGUGGCGAAAGCGACUUCCUGGACCAGUACCGACGUUCAGGCACGAAAGCGUGGGGAGCAAACAGG
rnacentral:rRNA from 1 species